ACCCCCUAUGGCGCCACUUUCCUAUGGCUUAACGGGAAAGAAAGCGAUUGUCUUUGCUGCUGUGCCGGGUUCGACUCGUGAAGCGGCACUCCUUUCUUCACGCCAGUGUGAAAAAGGGUCCAGCCGGGAAUUGAACCCGGGACCUCUCCCACCCUAAGGGAGAAUCAUGCCACUAGACCACUGGACCAGUAGAAACUCUCUGAUGAACACUUUUGCACAGGUGUUUAGUGUCGGCGUUACACUUCGCCAAUAAGCCCGAAGCGCAGUUGGUCUAGUGGUAGAAUUCUCGCCUGCCACGCGGGAGGCCCGGGUUCGAUUCCCGGACUGCGCACGCCUUUUUGCAGGCGGCGCCCGACCCGAGUACGGGUGGGGAAAACCGGCUUGCUGCACAUCG